GGUGACGACAGAAGAAAGAACACAGAAACAGGCAGAGAAUGAAUGAAGACAUUCUGCUUACAAGAACCAAUAUAACAAAGAGAUUGUUAAUUUUAGACUAGAAGGCCUUCAAAACAGGGCCAUCAUUUGAAAGUAAAUCUGAAAAUACACUUCAACAGGCUUCCGUUGCAAAAGAAUAGAACAGAGUUCCUCUGCCGCAUGCAUCACACCAAGCAUACUUAUCUGUCUUGCUUUGGAUGCAAUAAUAAAGUCUGCUCUGCAGCCAAAUGCUAUAACGCAUCUUUUCUUUUUCCUUUUUUUUUUAAUAUUUUUUCCAUUAAAGAUAAAAGUUUCAAGCAAUGAAGAAUCUUUCAUUUCAUCACAGUGGAAAGAGAAUGAGCUGGUGUUAGAGAGACAAGGAAGCUCCAAACAUAUAAGGGUGGAAAAUCAACACAUAAAGCUCUAGUAUGCAUUUUUAAUGCUGUCCUGUAUUACCAAGCAUACUGCUCCUGGGUGGCUAAUCUUUCCUCAUAAUGGCUUCUACACUGCAACAAAACACUAUGGCAUCUUUUGAAGUUCUGAAGACAAGAGAGACACGUUAUGACAUCUACCACAUGCCUGUUGUGCUUCCCCUGAAAAACCAUGAAGCAGCGAACAGCAAUUGCUCUUUGAGGCAAGUCUCACACAUAAGCAGAGCCAGCCACCAAUCUCACUUCCCGUCAUCAUGCUUUGGUUUUCUUCUCUCUAGAAUGAAUUCCAAAUCACAAGUUUUCUGCCAGCACAAUCCUUGUUAAUAAAUCAUCAUCCUUCUGAUACAUCUUACAUUUCCAGUGGAGACUGGUGGCAAGCCACAAGUUUGAUUUUUGGCUAGCAUGAGAAACCUGAGGAACUCAUGGCAAGAGCUGCCAGAACAGGUCUCAGCCAACCAUUGCUCACUGCCCAGCAAGUCUUCAUGUCCACUCCAUCUACUCAGUGGGACUGGAAGUCCUAUCCUGUUCUUCCCUGGCAGUUUAAUCUUUCUUGUACCAGAGGAAGUAUGGCCCUCAAGUAAGUUGAAUGGGUCAAAGAUCACUGAACAUGGAGAGUUCAGACUCACCAGAAUAGUCGUGUUGCCCUCAAUGAACUCCACAAAAACCUGGAGAACUUGCUCCUGUGUCUUCGUAGUUUUGAAGUUUGUGUUGCAUGUUCCAUCUGCCUUCUGCACAAAAACACAAUUUAUACCACAUUUCACUCCUCUCAUCAGCCAAUCCUCUGGAACCAACAGCAGCUCAGCUCUCGCUAACCAGAUGAAAGUCCUUGCAACAGCUCUGGGUGUACCUGAUCCCCAGAAGACACUUGCCCGACUUGCUCCCUGAGGUCACACUUUUGUCAGCUCCUGCACAGCACAGCCAUCUGUUGCACUGCGCAGCCAGUGUGCCAUUUGCAGCACUCCUCACUAGAUGGGACAAUGACACAGCUAGCAGGAGAGUAACUUGGGCUGCUCAAUAAAAUAUUGCUACCAAUCUAAA